UGGUGGCUUCCGCUGUACUCUUGAUUUAGUUAGCAGUGAAAUGAAGGUCCAAAGGGUUUUCUUUGUACAGGCUCUGUCAUUCUUUGCAUGGAGCCAAACUUACGCUUCAGGUCCAGUUUAUCAGACUGUUUGCAGGCGAACGGGCGGUACAAUAACUUGUUAUCAAGACAACACUUGGAGCUACAACGAGCGUACUCGUAAAUGCUAUCGUGUUCACAAGAAUGAGGAGCCAUGUGGCUUUUUCGAUGGCGAAAAGGGAUGCAAGGACUUUUGCUUAAAGCACACUUGGUAAAUCAGAUGAGCAGUUUCUUUCCGAUAAAUUACAUUUUCAAUGGUUAUCACAUUAGGUCGUUUAAGAUUCUCAGGAACUCUCUCUCUCUCUCUGUUACUUCACAAGUUACCAUGUAUACCUUAAAUAUAUUGUAUGUACUGCUCUUCAAUACGAUGUUUAAGGAUGUCGUCUCAAUCAGAACCAGCGGCAUAAAGCAGAAAACCCCUGCGUCGAGGAAAAUACUUGGGUAUUCGACCAAAAUGCUCGCACUUGUAAUCCUGUGACUCCUGAAAAGGAACCCUGCGGGCACUUUAUUAGCGAAAAGGCUUGCAAAGAGGUCUGCCUA